rnacentral:rRNA from 1 species
CGAAGGGGCGUAGCGUUGUCUCGGAAGUUACUGGGCGGUAAAGGGACGGCGUAGGCGGCGGUAGUAGUCAGGCGUGAAAUUACCUGGGCGUUAACCUGGGGACGUGCGCUUGAUACGCUAUUGCUAGAGGACGGAAGAGGGUCGUGGAAUUCCCAGUGUAGAGGUGAAAUUCGUAGAUAUUGGGAAGAACACCGGUGGCGAAGGCGGCGACCUGGUCCGUUACUGACGCUGAGGCGCGACAGCGUGGGGAGCAAACAGGAUU